CANAAAUAGAGAUAUUCUUCUUAUUA
rnacentral:tRNA from 1 species